rnacentral:rRNA from 1 species
UACGUAGGGCGCAAGCGUUGUCCGGAAUUAUUGGGCGUAAAGAGCUCGUAGGCGGCUUGUCGCGUCGAAUGUGAAAACCCGAGGCUCAACUUCGGGCUUGCAUUCGAUACGGGCAGGCUGGAGUUCGGUAGGGGAGACUGGAAUUCCUGGUGUAGCGGUGAAAUGCGCAGAUAUCAGGAGGAACACCGGUGGCGAAGGCGGGUCUCUGGGCCGAUACUGACGCUGAGGAGCGAAAGCGUGGGGAGCGAACAGG